UGUGCCCUGCCGGCACCCGCUCUCCUUCCCGCCGUCGGUACGCGAUCUUUUCUCUUUCUUUUUUUCUCCCCGACUAAAGCCUGUCGUUUUUCUUCGCUGUAGGAGCGUCACCCCAAGCAGCAGACUUGGCAAGGAGUGCCUGAGGGGGAGCUGCGGAAAGGACAGAACCUUCAGAGCUGGUGAAAGUUACGGCCCGCAUGUCCUGGAUCUUCCUUAAAUUAACGCAGAACAACUCUAAGUUUAUCUCCUAGCUCAGGGUGAAGCUUAAUGGACUUUCCAGUGUCAGCAAGGUAUGUCAAGGUUUGUGCAGUGACAGUGUUUAAAGAUGCUAGUUUGACUGGCCUGUUUCAGAUGGCUUUUAAAUCAAAUUGUUGUUCUAACUUUGAACUUUCUUGCGUCCUUGUGCCGCAUUUAUGCUUAGCUGUAGUGCCAAAACAGGCAAACCUAGCAGCUAGCUGCUGCCUAAAGGGUCAUCAUCGUUUCUUCUAUUUCAUACCGGCAUUAAUGUUCAUCUGACUUAGGAUAGAACUGGUUUAGAGUGCUAAACCAACAAGAAUAGUAGUGUGUUCUUCUCUUAUUUAUUCUUUAAUGUGCUCCAGUUCUCCUCAGGAUCAGAUCGAUGCUAAUGCUGGUGCACAGUAAGUGAUUGGAGUUUGCUGCUAAGUGUUGCACUGUGGCUUUUGGCAGUAUUUAUUCUGCAUGUUCUCUUGGAGAGGCUGUCAAACGACAUCCUUAGAUGACUCAUUUUCUAGGUUUCAUCAGCAUACAGUGCCACCACAUGAUCAGCUAGGAACAACAACCUGAUCUGCAUCACAGCUUGUAAUGUUAUGCUACUGCUAAAAGUAGGUCAACUCAACUAAAAAGUUUUCUGAUUGCUGUAAGGCUUAUUGACAGUAAACAAGGUAAUUUCAGUAAUCACAGUAUAGUGCAACGUGUCCCUAAUGUUUCUCACACCAGUUCUCCUUCCCUCCUGUGAUGUUUACAAGCUGUGUGGUUGUUUACUGAUUCCCACCCACUGGCUGUGCAGCUCGUCUUUUGAACUUAGAUGAAGAUGAAAGAAGUGGAGAUAGAAAGAUGGAUUUGUAAAAUAACUUUUUGGCAGAUCAUCAA